rnacentral:tRNA from 1 species
AUGCCGGUCGCGGAGAUCGCGCGCGAGCUGGCGUCACGCGCCGCACCCGGUUCGCUGCCGGGCCGGUAUU